rnacentral:rRNA from 1 species
AGCAGCCGCGGUAAUUCCAGCUCCAAUAGCGUAUAUUAAAGUUGUUGCAGUUAAAAAGCUCGUAGUUGAAUUUCGGGAUUGACACAUCGGUCGUGCCUUAAGGGGUAUGAACUGGUGUAGUCAAUUUCUCACCUUCUGGAGAACCGCGAUGCCCUUAAUUGGGUGUCGCGGGGAACCAGGACCUUUACUUUGAAAAAAUUAGAGUGUUUAAAGCAGGCAUUUUGCUUGAAUACAUUAGCAUGGAAUAAUAAAAUAGGACGGCAUGAUUCUAUUUUGUUGGUUUCUAGGAUCACCGUAAUGAUUAAUAGGGAUAGUUGGGGGCAUUAGUAUUCAAUUGUCAGAGGUGAAAUUCUUGGAUUUAUUGAAGACUAACUACUGCGAAAGCAUUUGCCAAGGAUGUUUUCAUUAAUCAAGAACGAAAGUUAGGGGAUCGAAGACGAUCAGAUACCGUCGUAGUCUUAACCAUAAACUAUGCCGACUAGGAAUCAGACGAUGUUAAUUUUUAAUGA